CACGUAGGGUGCGAGUGUUGUCCGGAAUUAUUGGGCGUAAAGAGCUCGUAGGCGGUGUGUCGCGUCGGCCGUGAAAACCUGCAGCUUAACUGUGGGCGUGCGGUCGAUACGGGCAUCACUGGAGUUCGGCAGGGGAGACUGGAAUUCCUGGUGUAGCGGUGAAAUGCGCAGAUAUCAGGAGGAACACCGGUGGCGAAGGCGGCGACCUGGGUAGAUACUGACGCUGAGGCGCGAAAGCGUGGGGAGCAAACAGG
rnacentral:rRNA from 1 species